UACACCCAAAAGCUCACUUUCUGAUUGUAAUGUAGAGAGAGAAAGAGAGUUAUAUGCACACAACCCAAUACACAACCCAAUACAUCUAGAGAGAGAAAAGGGUUUUGGGUACAAAGAUCCGAAAACUUCUCUCGGAUCCAAUUACAGUGAGGCCCAUCUCAUGAUCAACACACACCCAGAUGGGUUGUCGGACCCUCCAUCCGACAGGUCUCUGUUCAAAGGGAGAAUCGAUUUCCAGCUAGCCAAGAAGACAUUCACUACUACUGGGUUCAGUAAUGGCGGCGUGGGUUCUCUGUUGGAGACUCCGAACCCAACAAUUUCGGAUCCCGGGAGACCCGGUGGGUUGUAUGAAAAGGAGCCGGAUGGGUCGGAGUUUUUGGAUGUUGGGUUGGAUCCUGAGCUCAGUUUUAGGAUUACUUUCAGAAGAAUUGGUGCUGGACUGGAAAACCUUGGAAAUACUUGUUUUUUCAAUUCAGUACUUCAGUGUCUCACAUUCACGGAGCCUUUAGUGGCAUAUUUACAAAGUGGGAAGCACCAAAAUUCUUGUCGUACUGCUGGAUUUUGUGCUUUGUGCGCUAUCCAGAAACAUGUUAGCCGUGCCCUACAAUUAACUGGGAGAAGUUUAGCACCCAAGGAUCUUGUCUCAAACUUGCAGUGCAUAUCUCGGAACUUCCGGAAUGCAAGACAGGAGGAUGCUCAUGAGUACAUGGUAAAUUUGCUGGAAUCAAUGCACAAAUGCUGCUUACCUGCAGGAGUACCAUGUGAAUCACCAAGUGCUUAUGAAAAAAGUUUGGUCCACGAGAUCUUUGGUGGUUUCCUCGGUAGUCAGGUGAAAUGCAUUCAAUGCUCCUUCUGCUCCAACAAGUUUGAUCCAUUCUUAGAUUUAAGUCUUGAAAUCAUCACGGCGGAAUCACUGUAUCAAACACUCUUGCACUUCACUGCGAAAGAAUAUUUGGAUGGAGGAGAGAAGCAGUACCAGUGUCAGAGGUGCAAGCAAAAAGUAAAGGCUCUCAAGCAGCUCACAAUUCACAAGGCUCCUUAUGUUCUUACCAUCCACCUAAAGCGGUUUGGUACACAUCAACCUGGGCAAAAGAUUGACAAGAAAAUCCAGUUUGGUCCCACAUUGGAUUUAAAACCUUUUGUAUCUGGUCCCUGUGUAAGUGAACUCUUUGUUAGUGUCAGCUAUACAGCACUCAGCACUUAUAGGAUGGACCAUUGAGAUACACUCUUUAUGGGGUUCUUGUUCAUGCUUGUUGGAGCACACAUUCUGGUCACUAUUACUGCUAGGUUCACACAUCAAGUGGCAUGUGGUACUCCCUUGAUGAUCAUCAGUUUUGAAAGGACCAAGACUUCACUUUUGUCUCAUCUCAACAUAAAACUGCCCGGAUACAUGGCUAACAUGAUCACCAAAAGGCUUUGAAGGUAUGAAGCUUAGGAAACUAAAGUUGUUGGAAGAGGAUUUGAAGGUAUGGAGAAGGGAUGCUAGGUUGCCUGGUAUUGUAAAAUAAAUUUGAUAAAUAAAUAUAAAAAAAUAAUAAUAAACAUAUAGAAAUACAUCCAAAAUAGUAUGCUGAGAUGCACAGGUACGGGAUAUACCAACCAAUGAGAAAAACGGUGCACUCACCACUACUGUUUUUACGACUAUGAUAUGGUGCCUAUGGAGCAAAAGCAAUUGGAGGACAUUUGAUGAUGCACAGAUGCCUAUGCAUAAACUUUAGCUCACUUUACUUCGUUCGUUUCAUUUUUAGUUGAAGUAUGAGUUUUGUGAGUCUUCCUUUUUGUGGGUGGAUUUUAUAGGAGAGUUACAUUUUAAGAAGGGCAUAUCAUUUUGUUUCCCUUGUACUUAUUUUCUGUUUUUCCUUUUUGAUGUACAGGAGUGAUGCCCCCUUGGCAUCCUUUUUUAUAAUUUUAUAGGGGAAAAAAAAAAAAUCCUGUUGGAACCUAAA